GUGUCAGAGGACGCUUGAGGUCCGCCUCCUGGUGCCCUGAUGUCAGGUGCCAGGCGUGGCAGGCGUGGCGCUUCUUGGCGGCACCGCGAGGAAGGGGUAGGCAUGUUCUGUAGCGCCUAACUGGUAGGUAGUGGGCGGGACUACCUGAGCAGAGGCAGAGGUAUUUAAGGGGCAGUGGUCACAGCCACUCUGCUGGCAGUUGCUGCAGCUUGUGCUUGUUCUGAAGCUGUCCUGAGUCGAUUCUCCCAAGGUGAGGACUCCUGGGAGGCCGUCAUUGGCACCAUGGCAGAAGCUGGCAGCCCUGUUGGUGGCAGUGGUGUGGCACGGGAAUCCCGGCGGCGCAGGAAGACGGUUUGGCAGGCCUGGCAAGAGCAGGCCCUGCUAUCAACUUUCAAGAAGAAGAGAUACCUGAGCUUCAAGGAGAGGAAGGAGCUGGCCAAGCGAAUGGGGGUCUCAGAUUGCCGCAUCCGCGUGUGGUUUCAGAACCGCAGGAAUCGCAGUGGAGAGGAGGGGCAUGCCUCAAAGAGGUCCAUCAGAGGCUCCAGGCGGCUAGCCUCGCCACAGCUCCAGGAAGAGCUUGGAUCCAGGCCACAGGGUAGAGGCAUGCGCUCAUCUGGCAGAAGGCCUCGCACUCGACUCACCUCGCUACAGCUCAGGAUCCUAGGGCAAGCCUUUGAGAGGAACCCACGACCAGGCUUUGCUACCAGGGAGGAGCUGGCGCGUGACACAGGGUUGCCCGAGGACACGAUCCACAUAUGGUUUCAAAACCGAAGAGCUCGGCGGCGCCACAGGAGGGGCAGGCCCACAGCUCAAGAUCAAGACUUGCUGGCGUCACAAGGGUCGGAUGGGGCCCCUGCAGGUCCGGAAGGCAGAGAGCGUGAAGGUGCCCAGGAGAACUUGUUGCCACAGGAAGAAGCAGGAAGUACGGGCAUGGAUACCUCGAGCCCUAGCGACUUGCCCUCCUUCUGCGGAGAGUCCCAGCCUUUCCAAGUGGCACAGCCCCGUGGAGCAGGCCAACAAGAGGCCCCCACUCAAGCAGGCAACGCAGGCUCUCUGGAACCCCUCCUUGAUCAGCUGCUGGAUGAAGUCCAAGUAGAAGAGCCUGCUCCAGCCCCUCUGAAUUUGGAUGGAGACCCUGGUGGCAGGGUGCAUGAAGGUUCCCAGGAGAGCUUUGGCCACAGGAAGAAGCAGGAAGUACAGGCAUGGAUACUUCUAGCCCCAGCGACUCAAACUCCUUCUGCAGAGAGUCCCAGCCUUCCCAAGUGGCACAGCCUGUGGAGCGGGCCAAGAAGAUGCCCGCCACUCAAGCAGAC